CAUGCAGUCGACGAGAAGUUCCUUCGGGAGCAAUUAAAGUGGCGCACGGGUGAGUAACGCGUAGACAAUCUGCCCUUCAGUCUGGGACAACUUUUCGAAAGGAGAGCUAAUACCGGAUAACAAUGCAUGACACAAGUUGUAUAUUUGAAAGCUUUAUGUGCUGAAGGAGGGGUCUGCGUCCCAUUAGCUAGUUGGUAGGGUAAAGGCUUACCAAGGCAACGAUGGGUAGCGGGUUUGAGAGGACGAUCCGCCACACUGGAACUGAGACACGGUCCAGACUCCUACGGGAGGCAGCAGUGGGGAAUAUUGCACAAUGGAGGCAACUCUGAUGCAGCAAUGUCGCGUGAGUGAAGAAGGCCCUUGGGUCGUAAAGCUCUUUUAUGGGGGAAGAUGAUGACGGUACCCCAAGAAUAAGCACCGGCUAACUAUGUGCCAGCAGCCGCGGUAAUACAUAGGGUGCGAGCGUUGUUCGGAAUUACUGGGCGUAAAGGGCGCGCAGGCGGAAUAGUAAGUCGGAGGUGAAAGCCCGGGGCUCAACCCCGGAGGGUCUUUCGAAACUGCUAAUCUAGAGAGGGUCAGGGGCCGGCAGAAUUCCUGGUGUAGAGGUGAAAUUCGUAGAUAUCAGGAGGAAUACCGGUGGCGAAGGCGGCCGGCUGGGGCCACUCUGACGCUGAGGCGCGAAAGCGUGGGGAGCAAACAGGAUUAGAUACCCUGGUAGUCCACGCCGUAAACGAUGAGCACUGGACGUCCGGAGGGUUCGACCCUUCUGGGUGUCUCAGCUAACGCAUUAAGUGCUCCGCCUGGGGAGUACGGUC
rnacentral:rRNA from 1 species